rnacentral:rRNA from 1 species
CCUACGGGAGGCAGCAGUGGGGAAUAUUGCACAAUGGGGGAAACCCUGAUGCAGCGACGCCGCGUGAGUGAAGAAGUAUUUCGGUACGUAAAGCUCUAUCAGCAGGGAAGAAAAUGACGGUACCUGACUAAGAAGCCCCGGCUAACUACGUGCCAGCAGCCGCGGUAAUACGUAGGGGGCAAGCGUUAUCCGGAUUUACUGGGUGUAAAGGGAGCGUAGACGGCAGCGCAAGUCUGGAGUGAAAUCCCAUGGCUUAACCAUGGAACUGCUUUGGAAACUGUGCAGCUAGAGUGCAGGAGAGGUAAGCGGAAUUCCUAGUGUAGCGGUGAAAUGCGUAGAUAUUAGGAGGAACACCAGUGGCGAAGGCGGCUUACUGGACUGUAACUGACGUUGAGGCACGAAAGCGUGGGGAGCAAACAGGAUUAGAUACCCGAGUAGUC